AGUGAACGCUGGCGGUAGGCCUAACACAUGUAAGUCGAACGGCAGCACAGGAGAGCUUGCUCUCUGGGUGGCGAGUGGCGGACGGGUGAGGAAUACAUCGGAAUCUACUCUGUCGUGGGGGAUAACGUAGGGAAACUUACGCUAAUACCGCAUACGACCUACGGGUGAAAGCAGGGGAUCUUCGGACCUUGCGCGAUUGAAUGAGCCGAUGUCGGAUUAGCUAGUUGGCGGGGUAAAGGCCCACCAAGGCGACGAUCCGUAGCUGGUCUGAGAGGGUGAUCAGCCACACGGGAACGGAGACACGGUCCAGACUCCUACGGGAGGCAGCAGUGGGGAAUAUUGGACAAUGGGCGCAAGCCUGAUCCAGCCAUACCGCGUGGGUGAAGAAGGCCUUCGGGUUGUAAAGCCCUUUUGUUGGGAAAGAAAUCCAGCUGGCUAAUACCCGGUUGGGAUGACGGUACCCAAAGAAUAAGCACCGGCUAACUUCGUGCCAGCCGCCGCCGUAA
rnacentral:rRNA from 1 species